GACAGAGGGUGCAAACGUUGCUCGGAAUCACUGGGCGUAAAGGGCGCGUAGGCGGCCUUCUAAGUCAGACGUGAAAUCCCCCGGCUUAACCUGGGAACUGCGUCUGAUACUGGGAGGCUUGAGUAUGGGAGAGGGAUGUAGAAUUCCAGGUGUAGCGGUGAAAUGCGUAGAUAUCAGGAGGAACACCAAUAGCGAAGGCAGCUCGCUGGGACGUUACUGACACUGAGGCGCGAAAGCGUGGGGAGCGAACAGG
rnacentral:rRNA from 1 species